rnacentral:rRNA from 1 species
GAUGAACGCUGGCGGCGUGCCUAACACAUGCAAGUCGAACGAAGCGACUCAAAGUUUUCGGACAGAGAGUUGACUGAGUGGCGGACGGGUGAGUAACGCGUGGAUAACCUGCCUCAUACAGGGGGAUAACAGUUAGAAAUGACUGCUAAUACCGCAUAAGCGCACAGUACCGCAUGGUACAGCGUGAAAAACUCCGGUGGUAUGAGAUGGAUCCGCGUCUGAUUAGCUAGUUGGCGGGGUAACGGCCCACCAAGGCGACGAUCAGUAGCCGACCUGAGAGGGUGACCGGCCACAUUGGGACUGAGACACGGCCCAAACUCCUACGGGAGGCAGCAGUGGGGAAUAUUGCACAAUGGGCGAAAGCCUGAUGCAGCGACGCCGCGUGAGUGAAGAAGUAUUUCGGUAUGUAAAGCUCUAUCAGCAGGGAAGAAAAUGACGGUACCUGACUAAGAAGCCCCGGCUAACUACGUGCCAGCCGCCGCCGUAAGAC